rnacentral:sRNA from 1 species
AGAGCAGCCUUCUUCCCAAGCUCGCCUGCUGCGCCCUGCCUGCCGCCAGCUCCCUGAAUUCCCAGGCCAGUUGGAAGCCAGGCCCUGGUCAAACAGACCCCAGGGCACCAGCCUGCUUUCCACACCCAGAAGCUCUGACCCCAUGGCAGGGACUACCACUAACCCCUCCAGAGGCAGCUUCCUUCCUUCCUGCUCCGAGCUCUUCCCCUCUCUCGUUUCCUGGGCCUGCCCACUGGAAGGCCUGCCUCUUAGAUCCUUGAUACAGUUGCAUCCUUGCAACUGCUGUGACAGGUAGGGUGUGACCCACUGCUCUGUUUCCCACAAGACGAACCUGAGGUUCAGAGACGCUAGGAGACUUUUUCAAGGCCACACAGCCUAACAAGGAUUCAGCCCUAGACCUACAUAGCCCUGGUCCAGUGCUCCUUGUCCUGCCCCUGCCUCUGCAUGCUCCCUCCUGUAGUUGGAGGGCAGCCUCUUCACCCCGUCUGCUGCCCUUACAGACAACGCCUCCGACAAGGACCUGGCCGACCUGGUCUCGGAGAUGGAGGUGAUGAAGCUGAUUGGCCGACACAAGAACAUCAUCAACCUGCUGGGUGUCUGCACCCAGGAAGGGCCCCUGUAUGUGAUCGUGGAGUGCGCCGCCAAGGGAAACCUGCGG